AUUGAACGCUGGCGGCAGGCUUAACACAUGCAAGUCGAGCGGAGAGAGGUAGCUUGCUACCGAUCUUAGCGGCGGACGGGUGAGUAAUGCUUAGGAAUCUGCCUAUUAGUGGGGGACAACAUUUCGAAAGGAAUGCUAAUACCGCAUACGUCCUACGGGAGAAAGCAGGGGAUCUUCGGACCUUGCGCUAAUAGAUGAGCCUAAGUCGGAUUAGCUAGUUGGUGGGGUAAAGGCCUACCAAGGCGACGAUCUGUAGCGGGUCUGAGAGGAUGAUCCGCCACACUGGGACUGAGACACGGCCCAGACUCCUACGGGAGGCAGCAGCGGGGAAUAUUGGACAAUGGGCGCAAGCCUGAUCCAGCCAUGCUGCGUGUGUGAAGAAGGCCUUAUGGUUGUAAAGCACUUUAAGCGAGGAGGAGGCUACUUUAGUUAAUACCUAGAGAUAGUGGACGUUACUCGCAGAAUAAGCACCGGCUAACUCUGUGCCAGCCGCCGCGGUAAAAC
rnacentral:rRNA from 1 species